rnacentral:rRNA from 1 species
UACGUAGGGUGCGAGCGUUAAUCGGAAUUACUGGGCGUAAAGCGUGCGCAGGCGGCGCGUUUAAGACAGGUGUGAAAGCCCCCGAGCUUAACUUGGGAAUUGCGCUUGUGACUGGCGUGCUGGAGUGUGGCAGAGGGAGGUGGAAUUCCACGUGUAGCAGUGAAAUGCGUAGAGAUGUGGAGGAACACCGAUGGCGAAGGCAGCCUCCUGGGCCAGCACUGACGCUCAUGCACGAAAGCGUGGGGAGCAAACAGG